rnacentral:lncRNA from 1 species
AGGGGGACUUCACACGGAGGAAUGAGGGGUGGGAUGCAGUGACAUCACAAGGGUCCCAUUAUGACCCCUCCUCCAUCAGCUAAGGGGGGAUGGGCUGAGCCUGAACAGAGGGAGAGGGGAGUAAAUAAGGGGCUGUUGCCAGAGCCUGAGCCCACCAGAGAAAGUCUGUGUGCAGAGGGAGGGCCUCAGGUCCUGCUGCUCCUUCAUCUUGACCCCUUCACACCCUCCUCUAACAGGGACCUCGACCUCCCUUCUCCACUCUCCUGGAUCCUGCUCAGUGUGGUGCAGGCCUUCUCUGGGGCCCUGGAGUUCCCACUGACCUUCAGCCCCGCCAGUUGCAUCUGCUGUUCCCACUGAAGGUUAGUGGACAGGGUGGAGGUGGCUAAAGGUGGAAAAGAUACUUUGUGAGAGGGGGACCCCAACACGAGGACAGGGCACUGACGGAGCCUUUACCAAAAUGCUGGGAAAGGUCUCCCCACCAUCCACAUAUUCUCUCCCAGGCCUCAAAGGGCCCUCCCCAGUCUCCAGCUGUCAGCUUUCCCACCUCCACCUUCUCUCCUCCUUUCGGUUCUGCUUCUGAAUUUCUUCAAAAAUUCUCCUGCAUCAAGACUCUCAUGCUAGUCAGUUCCUGCCUGGGGUCACCAGACUGCUUCGAAGUCAGGAAGAACAUGGUGGGGACGGUGACUUGAGUUUCCUGGACCACAGUGCAGGUGAGAAAUGCACCUGCAGUGACAUCACAAGGGUCCCAUUAUGACCCCUCCUCCAUCAGCUAAGGGGGGAUGGGCUGAGCCUGAACAGAGGGAGAGGGGAGUAAAUAAGGGGCUGUUGCCAGAGCCUGAGCCCACCAGAGAAAGUCUGUGUGCAGAGGGAGGGCCUCAGGUCCUGCUGCUCCUUCAUCUUGACCCCUUCACACCCUCCUCUAACAGGGACCUCGACCUCCCUUCUCCACUCUCCUGG